CAUCGCCUCCUGCAACACAAAGUAUAGGAGGUCCAGCCUGCCCAGUGACUACGGGUUCAACGGCCGCGGUAUAUUGACCGUGCAAAGGUAGCGCAAUCACUUGUCUUUUAAAUAGAGACCUGUAUGAAUGGCUAGACGAGGGCUUAACUGUCUCCCCCCUCCAGUCAGUGAAAUUGAUCUAUCCGUGCAGAAGCGGGUAUAAUAUUACAAGACGAGAAGACCCUUUGGAGCUUAAGGUACAAAGUUCAGCCACGUUAAACCACUCCAUAAAAAGCAAGAACUUAGUGGCUGUGAGAUUUUACCUUCGGUUGGGGCGACCACGGAGGAAAAACAAGCCUCCGAGUGGACUGGGCCAAAACCCCUAAAGCCAAAAGAGACAUCUUUAAGCCGCAGAACAUCUGACCAAUAAUGAUCCGGCUAAACAGCCGAUCAACGGACCAAGUUACCCUAGGGAUAACAGCGCAAUCCUCUCCCAGAGCCCAUAUCGACGAGGGGGUUUACGACCUCGAUGUUGGAUCAGGACAUCCUAAUGGUGCAGCCGCUAUUAAGGGUUCGUUUGUUCAACGAUUAAAGUCCUACGUGAUCUGA
rnacentral:rRNA from 1 species